UAGUUCCACUUCUUAAUUGUU
rnacentral:piRNA from 1 species